rnacentral:rRNA from 1 species
GACAGAGGGUGCAAACGUUGUUCGGAAUUACUGGGCGUAAAGGGCGCGUAGGCGGUGCGGUAAGUCACCUGUGAAAUCUCCUGGCUCAACUGGGAGCUUGCAGGCGAAACUGCCGUGCUGGAGUGUGGGAGAGGUGAGUGGAAUUCCCGGUGUAGCGGUGAAAUGCAUAGAGAUCCGGAAGAACACCGACGGCGAAGGCAGCGUCCUGGCCGAGCACUGACGCUCAGGCACGAAAGCGCGGGGAGCAAACAGG